UCUGGUUACGAACACACUCUUGUGUGGAUCUCCCGAGUUCACGGUGCGGAGUCUUUACAAGAAGAGCAGAGCAUGGAAGACAGCGAUAACACCUAUUUCCGGGACAACGAGAAAAGUGGCAUUGAAUAUUACUUCAUGAUCGUGCUUGUAGCUACUGUUCUGCUUCUGCUUAUUAUGCCACUCACGAUCAAGCUAAUUCGCAUAAAAACUUCGUACCAGUCCGACAUGCUCCUCAGAGACCAGGAAAUGAACAUCCAUCGAGCAAAUCUGCGCGACAACUCUACCAUGUACUUAUGCAACUCGGUGUUCUGUUUUUCACAAAGUCAAGCGAUUCACGAUCUGUUAACGUUCGAGAAGGAUCCAUGCCGUGAUUUCUACGACUUCAGCUGUCAAGCUAAGCCGCAGCCACUGAAGGCCGAGGCGCGAACGGCCCUCUGGGAAAACAUGCUGACCUUUCUGGAAGGUUAUCAGCGUCUAUAUUUACACUUGACAGGCAUCAAAGAAUCGAAAGUAUCCUUCCACACGAAGCUUUACUCCUACUUCAUGUCCUGCAAAACCGCAGCCGCUACCCAGGAAUCUGAGUACUCCGAUGCAGUGCAGUACAUCCUGAAAGAGCUCGGCCUCCGAGAAUGGCCCGUGAAAUCGGUGGCGGGACUGCCUAGAAUAUCUUACGUUGCUGGGAAGCUUGGGCAGUUGCUCUACACAUUCCCACUGGUAACGUUAUCGAUGGAGGUGAAAGACAACCAACGAUAUAUCAAGCUCGCCGAACCGCGGAUGUUGAGAGAUGUAUUUGAAAUGGACAAGUACCACUUCAAAGAGGAGAAUUUCAUUGCAUACUUGAAGAGAACAAUGCCAACAGACAAUAGCGAAGUGCCGAAUCGUAGGGCUUGGAAUAAAGCCGUACGCUUAGCGUUGGAGUUUGAAGGGAAAAUAACACAGGCGAAGGAUAAUGCGACGUUGUUUGGAAACUGUUCCAGCACUGCCGUUCGAAGUAUAAAGGAUAUGCCGGAGAGUGAAGUGUGGGACUGGGAAGAAUUCCUCAGAGUAAUUUUGAAGGACAUAUUCGACGACUUCCUUUCUCCCUCCACUCACAUCUUCUACUCUAAGGCGUAUGUUGAGCAUCUGAUGAAGGUUUUCCGCCAUGCAGAAUUGGAGCAAGCAAUGAAUAUGCUUGGCUACUGGGGCAUCUUUAACUUCCUCCCCAUGACUGUAGCCGACAAUUUAGACGAGCCUUUCGUACAAGAUAUCUUAAUUAUUCGUUAUGGAGGAAAGCUGGAGAAUUUAUGCGCAGAAACGACGUUCAAUAUUUUCAAGUUUUACUUCACAUGGAUGCUUUUGAGGUCCACGUUCCAAGUGACAAGUGAUCAGUUGUACAAGCAUACCAAAUCAAUGUACUUUCGAGCAAUUCUCGAGUUCUUCAGGAUCACCUCGUCACCCAUCAGCAAGCUCAUUUCAGCUAAACUGCAGAACACGACGGUGUCCACUCAUCCUGCAGCUAACACUUGCACGGACGAAGCAAGCUGCGCGGAGUAUUAUAAAUACAUUCCCAAUCUAUCAGGGAGGUCGAAAUACAAGCAGUUUCUGCUUUCCAAAGCAAUGCUCGCUAACUUGGACUUGAAGCUCCUAGCUAAGGAACCAGGAUGGAGAGACACCACUUUUGACGCGGAAGCCCUCUACGUGUAUGGCUCUAACACACUAUAUGUACCACUGUCCCUGGCUAGACAAGAAUUCAUCGGUGACGAGAGCUUCAUGUACGUGGGCACCUAUGGCAAGACGAUUGUGGAGCCUAUCGUGUCACAGUACCUUAGAAAAGAUGGCGAGACAUAUCGGCGGCACGUUGACCACAUCAGAAGACAUCAAGUCAACGACGGAACCCCCGAACACAUGACUGCAGCCCACAGCAUUCCACUUCCGCCGCCACCUCUCCCUCAAACCACAACAGCAACCACUAGGAGUCCUUCAGCACAUCAAGCUGAUUCGACGACAUCCGAAGAUGCUCGUCCACAGCGACCACAUCGGGUUAGAAAACGUCCAGCGCGGUACAAUGACUAUGUUUCAGACUAAAAGGGGGGAGUGUGCCAGUUUUGUUUUAUCUUAAAAGGGCGGAGCUUUAUAUAUGUCCAAUAUAGGAUACACUCGUUCAGCCCCAUCGGGAUUAUCAAGAGCGCGUGCGCUCGUUCGCGUUGCCUACGUCUCCAUGUUCCCCUCUAGGUCUACGACGGCAUAACAGUAAUGAUAAUAGGGGGGAUAUACAUUUAUGAUAAUAGGAAGGUUGCUGCAGCAGAUCGCGAUAGAGAACAGAUGGCUCGUAGAAGCAGCUCUCUCGAGGAGAAUUGCAUUCUGAUUAUGAGUAAUGCUUCUUGCGAGAGAAAAAAAAAAAAAAAGCAGCGUUGUUCUGCUCCGUCUUCAAAUGGUUUGCAUGCACCAGCUGAGACUGCUGUGGAACUAUACAAGAAGGAACCCGGUUCCGAAGAGCCAACACAAUGGGAGAAAUCUCUGAGCUGCAUUGCAACA